CCUUCACUGCCUUCUUCUCAUAUUUUCU
rnacentral:sRNA from 1 species